UGCGAUGAUGAUGAGUUUACAAAAAAUCUCGUUAAUCUGAUGCUAACGUGAGGAUUUUUGUCUCAUCCAUUCAUUAAAGAUUCUGAGC